rnacentral:rRNA from 1 species
CUACGGGGGGCACCAGUGGGGGAUAUUGCACAAUGGGCGCAAGCCUGAUGCAGCAACGCCGCGUGAGGGAGGAAGGCCUUCGGGUUGUAAACCUCUUUUAGCAGGGAAGAAGCGAAAGUGACGGUACCUGCAGAAAAAGCACCGGCUAACUACGUGCCAGCAGCCGCGGUAAUACGUAGGGUGCAAGCGUUGUCCGGAAUUAUUGGGCGUAAAGAGCUCGUAGGCGGUUUGUCACGUCUGCUGUGAAAAUCCAAGGCUCAACCUUGGACUUGCAGUGGGUACGGGCAGGCUAGAGUGCGGUAGGGGAGAUGGGAAUUCCUGGUGUAGCGGUGAAAUGCGCAGAUAUCAGGAGGAACACCAAUGGCGAUGGCGCCUCCCUGGGCCGAAACUGACGCUGAGGAGCGAAAGCGUGGGGAGAGAACAGGAUUAGAUACCCUCGUAGUC